GCGGGACACGUGGUAUCCUGUCUGAAUAUGGGGGGACCAUCCUCCAAGGCUAAAUACUCCUGACUGACCGAUAGUGAACCAGUACCGUGAGGGAAAGGCGAAAAGAACCCCGGCGAGGGGAGUGAAAAAGAACCUGAAACCGUGUACGUACAAGCAGUGGGAGCCUCUUAAUGGGGUGACUGCGUACCUUUUGUAUAAUGGGUCAGCGACUUAUAUUCUGUAGCAAGGUUAACCGAAUAGGGGAGCCGAAGGGAAACCGAGUCUUAACUGGGCGUUAAGUUGCAGGGUAUAGACCCGAAACCCGGUGAUCUAGCCAUGGGCAGGUUGAAGGUUGGGUAACACUAACUGGAGGACCGAACCGACUAAUGUUGAAAAAUUAGCGGAUGACUUGUGGCUGGGGGUGAAAGGCCAAUCAAACCGGGAGAUAGCUGGUUCUCCCCGAAAGCUAUUUAGGUAGCGCCUCGUGAAUUCAUCUCCGGGGGUAGAGCACUGUUUCGGCAAGGGGGUCAUCCCGACUUACCAACCCGAUGCAAACUGCGAAUACCGGAGAAUGUUAUCACGGGAGACACACGGCGGGUGCUAACGUCCGUCGUGAAGAGGGAAACAACCCAGACCGCCAGCUAAGGUCCCAAAGUCAUGGUUAAGUGGGAAACGAUGUGGGAAGGCCCAGACAGCCAGGAUGUUGGCUUAGAAGCAGCCAUCAUUUAAAGAAAGCGUAAUAGCUCACUGGUCGAGUCGGCCUGCGCGGAAGAUGUAACGGGGCUAAACCAUGCACCGAAGCUGCGGCAGCGACACUAUGUGUUGUUGGGUAGGGGAGCGUUCUGUAAGCCUGUGAAGGUGGCCUGUGAGGGUU
rnacentral:rRNA from 1 species